UCUUGGAAUUAUGAGAAGUGACGUCUGCCCGGUGACUUUAAUAGGUUUAACGGCCGCGUUUAGUGCUAAGGUAGCAUAAUCAUUUGUCUUUUUAUUGAGGACUAGUAUGAAUGGAUUAACGAAGUUCAACUGUCUCUAUGUAUUAAGUUGAAAUUGGUUUUAAGGUGAAAAAUCCUUAAUUUUUAUGAAAGACGAUAAGACCCUGUAGAGUUUUAGUAGAUUAAGUAUUUUAAGGGUUAAAAAGAAAUAUAAAUACUUUAUUAUAUUUAAAUACUUUUAUUGGGGCAAUAAAAGAACAAUUAAAAUCUGAUUGAAAAAUUUUAUUACUGUAAAAUGUUAAUCCUCAAAGAGAAUAAGGAUAAACUACCUCAGGGAUAACAGCGUUAUUUUCCCAGAGAGGUCUAAUUGAAGGGAAAGUUUGCGACCUCGAUGUUGGACUAAGAUUACUUUAAGGUGCAGAAGCUUUAAGUAGGUGGCCUGUUCGGCCAUUAA
rnacentral:rRNA from 1 species